CCUUCGGGAACUCUGAGACAGGCGCUGCAUGUCUGUCGUCAGCUCGUGUGUGAAAUGUUGGGUUAAGUCCCGCAAGAGCGCAACCCUUAUCCUUUGUUGCCAGCGAUCCGGUCGGGAACUCAAAGGAGACUGCCAGUGAUAAACUGGAGGAAGGUGGGGAUGACGUCAAGUCAUCAUGGCCCUUACGAGUAGGGCUACACACGUGCUACAAUGGCAUAUACAAAGAGAAGCGACCUCGCGAGAGCAAGCGGACCUCAUAAANUAUGUCGUAGUCCGGAUCGGAGUCUGCAACUCGACUCCGUGAAGUCGGAAUCGCUAGUAAUCGUGGAUCAGAAUGCCACGGUGAAUACGUUCCCGGG
rnacentral:rRNA from 1 species